rnacentral:misc_RNA from 1 species
GGCACAUAAUAUUAGAACCGCCGCAAGCUUUAAAAUUGUGGCUAAUAAUCAGCACAAUGUAAUAUAAAAACUAACAAGAAAGUUUACAAAAGAACCAUUCGAUCUCUCCAACUGAAAUUCUGCAGGUAAAACAUAUGGGAAAACAAGGCCAAAAGAUUCCAACACUCCGUAUUAAAACAUCCUCCUCAUACUUCUUAUUAAUUUGUGAGUUCCAUUAUAGCAGAUACGAUAUCACCAUCAGUUGCUUUGAGUGCUUUCACGGCCUUUGGUCUUGAUACACCAGCUUGAGUCAUCACCAGUUCAAUGUCCUUGGGUUCAACCCCGGUCUCAUCGACUACUUCAUCAUCUUGAGCCACGGUUGAUGGUUCAGGCUUUGAUGUCAAGUUGCUCAAAUUAGGUGCCUUAAACUGCUCUGCAGCUUGCGUCUGUAGCUGGGAGCUCAAAUCU